rnacentral:rRNA from 1 species
AUUAGACGAAUCAUCUGGAAAGAUGAAUCAAAGAAGGUAAUAAUCCUGUAGUCGAAAAUGUUGUCUCUCUUGAGUGGAUCCUGAGUACGACGGAGCACGUGAAAUUCCGUCGGAAUCUGGGAGGACCAUCUCCUAAGGCUAAAUACUCUCUAGUGACCGAUAGUGAACCAGUACCGUGAGGGAAAGGUGAAAAGCACCCCGGAAGGGGAGUGAAAUAGAACCUGAAACCGUGUGCUUACAAGUAGUCAGAGCCCGUUAAUGGGUGAUGGCGUGCCUUUUGUAGAAUGAACCGGCGAGUUACGAUUUGAUGCAAGGUUAAGCAGUAAAUGUGGAGCCGUAGCGAAAGCGAGUCUGAAUAGGGCGUUUAGUAUUUGGUCGUAGACCCGAAACCAGGUGAUCUACCCUUGGUCAGGUUGAAGUUCAGGUAACACUGAAUGGAGGACCGAACCGACUUACGUUGAAAAGUGAGCGGAUGAACUGAGGGUAGCGGAGAAAUUCCAAUCGAACCUGGAGAUAGCUGGUUCUCUCCGAAAUAGCUUUAGGGCUAGCCUCAAGUGAUGAUUAUUGGAGGUAGAGCACUGUUUGGACGAGGGGCCCCUCUCGGGUUACCGAAUUCAGACAAACUCCGAAUGCCAAUUAAUUUAACUUGGGAGUCAGAACAUGGGUGAUAAGG